AGAGUAUUUUCUACAAUAUAAUGACUUAAAUUCUGUAUUUUUUUUAUAUCUCUGGCCUGAUAUAUAAAUUUAUAUACAUUAUAUAUUGUAGGUAUAAUGAUGUACCAGUAGCCAUAUGUUUAAUGUUUUGUGCCGAGGGUGACAAUAUCGCAGAAGCUUUAGAACUUGCUAACAGACUCAACAGGUGGCUGGGACUUAUUUUGUUUCACUCACGGUCAAUAGGUGGAGCAGAUGAAGAAGCUGUCGUAAAAUACACUAAAUGGAAGGUCCCUGUUUCUUGGAAACUAUUUUACGGAUCAAAGUUUGACCAGAGUUUAUUUCACUGAUAAUGACUGUAGAUGGCAACUGUUACUUCACUUUGAUCACUUCAGCAUGGAAGAUUUGGGACUGCUUGUUUUCAGUCCAGAAACAUCUCUGAUUUUGACAUUGUUAGCACCUUUAUAAGGGAUGCCCUUUCAGUGGUGGGAAUUCUUUGUCUAGAUUUUCUGCAGGGAGAUCAACAAACUCAACGACUGGUCUUUGUAGAUAAAGGGCGUACUUUUGGAAAUGUGCAGUCAAAAGACCAAAGGCUUACUUUCAGAAUAUAUUCGCAUUAAGUCACAAUAAACAAGGAUAAAAUCAGUGAACCAAAAAAAGAGAAUGGAAAGUUUUUUAGUAAUGUGUAACACAUGGGACAACACAACCUAAAUCUCAUUUUUGAGAUAAAUUUUAUGGAAUUUAUUUUCUUCGUACAUUUCACUUCUUCAUCAGUUUGACAUAUUACGCUGAACAUUUAUUGGUCUUCACUGCAGACGUAAAUUAAAAAAUCCAGUUUACUUUGUGGUAAAAACCAUUUCUUAAUGUGUUCACAAUUUUUGUGCUCUUUUUUUCACACACUUAUUUGAUCAUGAUCUGUAUAUUGUAUUUUAUUUGAGGAAAUAAAACUGUGAUAAUUUUUA